AUAUUUGACAUGGCAGUUACAUGUUAAUAAAAUUCCCUGUGUGUAGUAUCUGUUCUUAUCAGCUUAAUAUCUGAUACGGGUUCUAUAUGAACCCACGAUAUUAAACCUAUUUUUGGAAGUUGGCGGAGUGCUUGAAGCCUGCUUCACCUCCGCCGCAGGUCGGCCCGGUAUUGCACUACCUCCGGGAUCGGUCCCCACUCA
rnacentral:snRNA from 1 species